UUUGGUUCUACCACUUUUUGCUGGCAACGAAUUUUUUGUGUUGGUGUGUUCUCUCGGGGAAAUGGAGACUGGAAAUAGUAAUAAGCACACUGCAGCUCUGGGGAUAAGGAAAGGAAAUAAAGAUCUACGGAAGGGGCUGGCACAGCCUGGUACACUGCCAGUGUGCAAUAGUUUAGCUUCGAUUCUUUCCUUCGCCCUUCCUCCAAAGUAAUUGUGCUUGAUGACCUUAGCUGUGACGUCUUUAGGAGUAGAGGGGUAGAGUUUGUGGUGUGGCAGUCACUUGGGAGCAGACAGAAAACCUUUUUGGAGAACUUGAGGUAAACUUGCUAUACUACUGACACAAACGGUUUCUUUUUGUUUGCUUUUGUUUUGUUUUCUGAGACAGUCUUCCUACGCAGUCCAGGUUGGUCUUAAACCUGAUAUCACUAUACAGCUCAAAGAUGGCCUCAAACUUGCCAUCCUCCUGCCUCAGCCUCUGAGUGCUGGAAUGAUCACAUGCAGCUGUCCCCACACCUGGCUGCCAGGAAUAUCUUUUGAAUGGCCGCAUUGGCCCAUUUUGCCCUCUGGUGAUAACUCUUAUUGCUUGAGGAGUCAGACAAAGAUGUCUUAAGGCUAGAGAGACUGAGCCUGUUCAGAUAUAUUGCCUAAAGGAAUGAUUUGAGAAACAGAAACUGGAGCUUAAUUCCACCUCUUAUUCUUAAGAAAUUCAAGCAAGCCUGCGUGUAUAUGGAGGAAUAUGACUAUGGAUCUUUUCCCUUUAUCUAAGAUGAAUCCUCGAAUUGAAACACCACAAACCAAAUGCUUUGGCAGCCAAAUACGCUCCCCGAUCACAGCUUCCUACGUGACACCCAGAUCGCGAUGGGAAUCGAGUCUCCUUGUGCCGCUGUUAGUCCAUCCGUGCCAUCGUCAGUGCCCAUUAAUCACGCAGCGAACUUGUGAUGACUCACAGAGAACCGGAAAAAUAAAUGUAGCCUCUCCUUGUGUGAACGCUAAUAAUCAAACCGCGCAAUAAAGGAAUGCAGAAGGAUGAGCGUGCAAUCUGGCGUCAGGACUUCUGAUUUAUGGCCGCGGCCCUGGGCUCCCAAACACCUCACCACCUGCCUGCACAUCCACGCGGCUGAAGACAAGCGAUAACGGAUUGGAGGCGGAAGCGCCUUUGGAGAACAGCGCCGUGACAGAUAGGCAGCUCUGGGCGUCGCAUCGCACGGUGAUCGUCUGGGCUGCCUCAGACUCUGUGAGUCUGCAGGGAACUGCCAUUUGGAAUACCGUCCUUUGAACGGAAGGUUAGUUUGAUUUUUCUCACUUGAUUUCAGUGA
rnacentral:lncRNA from 1 species